rnacentral:rRNA from 1 species
GGGGAGUGACGUCAAGUCCUCAUGGCCUUAUGCCCAGGGCGUACACACGUGCUACAAUGGGCGGUACAAAGAGAAGCAACCUCGCGAGGGUGAGCAAAUCUCAAAAAGCCGUUCUCAGUUCGGAUUGAAGUCUGCAACUCGACUUCAUGAAGUCGGAAUCGCUAGUAAUCGCGGAUCAGCAUGCCGCGGUGAAUACGUUCCCGGGCCUU